GAACCACCCCUCGUCAAUGGCUGACAGGCGUUCCGGACAUUGUCCUGGUCCUGCAAGAGCGACUUUCGGCUUCCCGACUUUGGAAUUAGGAAAAUUAUUCGGUUCAGGUCAAUCUCUCCAUGAAUUAUCAUUGUCGUUGUCUGGAAUGGUGGAUUGAGAUCUUCUACCACCGUUGUGUUUCAUGUUCAGAUAUGAAGACAGGUGUUUGUUCCUGGGCUUGUUCCUGGGCUUGUCCACUGUCAACUGGACAAGGCCGGCGUAGAGCAGAGGUAGUUCAAAAAGGUUUCCUGAUGUACUGGCAAAAAUCAGUAUCGGAUUAUGGUAAAUGAAUACUCACACACAGGGUUAACAUAGAAGAAAUGUGCAAGUGUUGCUGUUGCAGUAAACAAAUGUGUGGUGUUUAACAGAUGAAUGUGAAAGUUACACAUAAGCCACAAGUAAAUUCAAAUUUAACAACCAUGAAGAUGACAACUGAAGUAAACCUGUUGGACUUAAGGUAGUUGGUGAAAAAAGAAAGGUAACAUUUCUUGUUCCAUUUACAUACUAUCUUCUAAAAAACAUUCAAACAAAAGAACGAACGUGUAUCUUCUUUCAACGACCGUCCUAGCAGAUCUGUUGAUGUGCAACAUAAGCGUCGUAGUAGCGAAUGCAAUGAGGGGCAGUUGCUUACUAUCGUGGUUCUAUAUUCUUAUUAAUUUUUUUCUCUUA